AUGCUGAGACUUGUUGGUUUGCUAGGUUAUUUUGGAGUUGUAGAGAAAGAUCUGGUAACAAAUGAGAAUGAGAUCAAGCUGAGACUGGUCGUGUGGCCACCUCUGAAGUUGAGGUCGAGUUCGCAUGCACACUGCAUACUGUCAGGCCUGGAAAUCUACUCAAUAGACAUGCAAUUUCUCUAUGAAGCUCUAAGUUUUCGUCUCUCACCAAGAUCCUUGAGUACUGUGGAGCAGCUUCUUCAUCCAGCCUCAUGUUUUCGUCUUCAGCAGGACUACAAGGCGAAUUGCUACAUAAACAGUAGAGAGCGUGGGGACGGCCUGCCCCACAUCCCAUGA
rnacentral:rRNA from 1 species